AUGUUACCGGAAAACGUCGGCGACGGCGGUGGUGGUGGUGGACGACCGGUCAUGUUACCGGAAACCGUCGGCGACGGUGGUUCAUCUGGGCUCUUGUGCCUGCCACCGGAAGCUCUCGGCGUGUCCUCCUCCGGCGGCGCCUGCGUUCCACCGCCGGAAACUCUUGGCGUGGAAGGUGGUGGCACACGUACACUGGCGUAUGCGUCCGGCGGUGUGUGCUUGCCACCGGAAACUCUCGGUGGUGUGUCCUGUGGUGGCGGCGGCGAACGGACACUCGUGUUUGCGUCCGGGGGCGUGUGCGUGCCACCGGAGAUCUUUGGUGUGCGUGGCGGCGGCGAUCUUACACUUGUGUAUGCGUCCGGCGGCGGCGUGUUCGUGCCACUGGAAGAAGCUGUCGGAUGUUCCGGUGGAGGGAGUCGCACGCUUGUUUCAACCACUGGCGCCGGCGGCGGUGGUGUUCGACGGGGAAAGGUCUUUGGUGAACCAAGGGAAAAUCUGGGAGCAGGCGGUGGAGGAGAGCGCACGCUCGUUUCAGACAUCGGUGUCUGCGGUGGAGGUGUUCGACGGGGAAAGGUCUUCGGUGGAACGGACGGUGGAGGAGAGAGCUCGCUCGUUUCAGCCACUGGCGCCGGCGGCGGAGGUGUUCGACGGGGAACGGUCUUCGGUGGACCAAGGGAGAAUCUAGGAACGGGCGGUGGAGGAGAGAGCUCGCUCGUUUCAGCCACUGCUGCCGGCGGCGGAGGUGUUCGACGGGGAAAGGUCUUCGGUGGACCAAGGGAGAAUCUGGGAACGGGCGGUGGAGGAGGGUGCUCGCUCGUUUCAGCCAUUGGUGCCGGCGGCGGAGGUGUUAUACGGGGAAAAGUCUUUGGUGGACCAAGGGAGAAUCUCGGAGCAGACGGUGGAGGAGAGCGCACGCUCGUUUCAGCCACUGGCGCCAGCGGCGGAGGUGUUCGACGGGGAAAGGUCUUCGGUGGACCAAGGGAGAAUCUAGGAACGGGCGGUGGAGGAGAGAGCUCGCUCGUUUCAGCCACUGAUGCUGGCGGUGGUGGUGUUGGACCAGGAAAGGUCUUUGGUGGACUAAGGGAGAAUCUAGGAGCGGGCGGUGGAGAAGAGCGGAUGCUCGUUUCAGCCGUUGGUGUUGGCGGCGGCGGUGUUGGACUGGGAAAGGUCUUCGGUGGACCAAGGGAGAAUCUAGGAGCGGGCGGAGGAGGAGAUUGCACACUCGUUUCAGCCAUUGGCGACGGUGGUGGUGGUGUUGGACUGGGAAAAGUCUUCGGUGGACCAAGCGAGAAUCUCGGAGCGGGCGGUGGAGGAGAUCGCACACUCAUUUCAGCCGUUGGCGCCGACGGCGGUGGUGUUGGACUGGGAAAUGUCUUUGGUGGACCAAGGGAGAAUCUGGGAUCGGACGGUGGAGGAGAGCGCACGCUCGUUUCAGCUGUUGGUGCCUGCGGCGGUGGUGUUGGACUGGGAACCGAUGGCGCGCACGCGCCACCGCUGCUGGUCGCCGCGACGCCGGCGCAAUGCCGCAGCAGGCCAUGCGGGAGGAGCGAGGCGACGAAGGUGCGGGUGAAGGGCCCGCAGUGCUCGUCGGCCUCGCACGCCGCGAGGCGGCACGCGCGCGGAAUGGGGCACCCCGUGAAGAAGGCGGCGAGCAGGUCGUGCUUGCAGCGGCCCAGCGUCAGCAGAGACUCCCAGCAGAUGCCCGAGUCGGUGUGCGGGCCGCCCGGGAAGAUGCUGUCGAACGCCUCAUCGAUCAUUCAUGGCAGUCGAGGCAUGCAGCAUAUGUCGUCGAAGAGGGGCAAGAGAGCACGCCGGUCGUCCGCCGGCCAGCCGCUGCCGGACGAAAUGAUGACAGAAAUCGUUCUGCGCCUGCCGGCCUAUUCCAUCGUCCGUUUCCGCGCUGUCUCCCGCUCAUGGGCCGCUAUGCUCUCUUCUCCUGGAUUCCAGGACGGCUACGCGGCCAUGGCAGAUGCCCGUCGCAUGAGCAUGAGCAAGUUCGUCUUCUUUGCGGCGUCGCCGGCGUCGCCCAGAGGCGCCACGGCUGUCUACUCCUGCGACGUCGGCCCAGUCCGGCGCAUCACGACGACGACGACCGACUUGCUCUUCAAUAUCGACCGCCUGCGCCCGGGCUUCCUCGUCGUCUCAAGCAGGCCGUGCCACGGCCUGACGCUCCUGGCUGACACUCGAUCCUUCGCCUACUGGGUGUGCAAUUCCAGCACCGGCGUGUUCAGGCCAUUGCCGCGGCGGCGCUGCCACGAUCUGUCCAGCGCCGGCCUAGCCUUCGACGAUCGGACCAAGGAGCACAAGGUGGUGCAUCUCUUCUGCCAUGUGAGCCGUGGCGGCGAGAACCUCUUCCCUGACACGACGGUAUUUGAGAACCGAAACAGCAGCGUUCCAGUGCUAUGCUUCUCUGUUGCCGACGAGGCCUUCAGCCUGGUCGCUGGGCCGGCGGUCGACGGCAUAGCGGAUUACUGCGCUUUGGACAGCCACUCCCCGGCUGUUCCACUCCACCUGGUGGAGCUCCAUGGCUCUUUGUGCAUGGUCCGCGAUCUCCGCCAUCUUCCGCAUGGUGAAAGCUGCCUGGAGAUAUGGGCGCUGAGAGAUUACAGCGCCAGCGUAUGGUCACUCGACUUCCGUGUCGCCAUGACGCCGCAGGUGGCACGCGACAUGCACGAUCCCCGGUUCAUCACCGUCCUUGGAUGUCUCGGCGGCGCGCGCGGAGACGACGUCGGGAGUGUGGAGCGGAUCAAGAAAAUCCUGAUCGCUACCUCGCAGCACAAGGUGCACGCCUACGACCCAGCUACGGGGAGCAUCGAAACGGUGGUCACCGUCCCAGAGGAUUUCGCCGGCGGCCGGGAGGAGGCGGUGGCCGGUAUUCGGAUUGGUCUGUACGAGGACAGCCUUGCCCGUGUAGGCGGCGAGAGUUGUCGACAGAGGGAAGCCACGGCGGCGAUGACUGAGAUCCUACUACGGUUGCCGCCCAAAUCAAUCGCCAUGUGCAUGCUCGUUUGCAGACAGUGGCGCACACUGAUCGAGAGCGAGCGCUUUCUUACGUCACACAUGCUUGCUAACAUGGAACGGAAGAAGGUCAUGGUAGUCACGAAUGGCCGUCGACGGGAGAAUUUCUUUAAUUUCAUGCCGGUGGAGACCUGGAUUGGGCCUGCCGCCAAAGCUCGUUCGGACGUUCUUGUCAACCGCAGGAUCCUCUGCUCUAAGCCAUGCCAUGGACUUAACCUGAUAAGCACCAGCAGCGACGACUACCUGUGCAACCCUUGCACUGGUUCUAUCCGGUGUCUUGGAAUCCGUGGAAAGUUUCGUGAGAUUGAUCCAACUGUCAGUAUUGAUGACGAUCGCCGCCAUGUCACGAGAGUUGGCAGGAACAUCGGGCUAGGAUUCGACCGGUUGUCACAAGAGCAUGUAGUGGUUGAGAUGAGCCGCUUCAAAGGCGACCUGCAGCUGUGCAUGAUCAAGACGAGCUGCGUGGAUUACUGGAGCUGCGCUGGCAAGCCGCCGAGGCCGGUGACCGACAUGCCACCGGCACAUGUUGACGGGACGCUCUACUGGAUCAGCGAGCCACAGCCGACGGCCCGAGACCGUGUCAUUGUGGCAUUUGACAUCUCCUCCCGGGAGUUCUCCGUCUUGCCAUGCCAGCCAUGCUGCAGCGAGAGGGACGGCGGUGAUUAUCCGUUGCUCGUCGAGCUGGAAGGAUCGCUGUCGCUCGUCGUCGCAAACGCGGAGGAGAACAAUCUGCAGAUAUGGACGAUGCAGGAGGCUGACGGCACAUGGCACAAAAGUUACAGCAUCUUACUGGACGAGAGGUACCCGGACUUCUCACUAAAAACGGGCGUGGUGGUAGUGCCACUGGACGCCGUCGCCGAUAGCAAUGGCGGCGGCAGGAUCUUGCUCGACACAGGGCGAGCAUUGGGCUACUACGAUCUCGAGACGAGAAGCAUCGACACCUUGUACUCGCUCGACCAGCUAAAGCUUCCCCAGUGCCAGAUGGCAUUCCCCAUGCUGUACGGGGAUAGCUUGGUGCCCAUCCAGGACGACGAACCGCCCGACUACGUCGCGCCGACUCUUCGCGACGACGACGGCGGGCGGCGCUGCUACUACCAGCCGCAACACGUGGAGAUCAGCGGCGGCGAGCAGCCUGCGGCUGCCUCCUGCGUAUUCCGGCCAUGCGAGGCGGCCGGCGGCGGCUGCAGGGGCAUGGGCUGCGUGUACGCGGGUAGCUGCUGCAGGAGGGUGCUGUGCCGGGAGUGCAGCCUCCCGUGCGUCGAGCACACCGACGGCUUCCACACCGCGAUACUGCCCUUCCUGCCGCGGCGCUCCGCGACGGCGACCGAGAUGGCCGAGGAUUUGCUGCUGGGUUUGCCUCUCGAGCACCCGUGCGUGCCGGGGCCCGAGUACUGCUACUACUACUCGGAGGGGGACGAGGUGGAGGAAGGCGUGGGGCGGCACGUGUUCGUGUCGCUCAGGGAUCUCGCGCGCACCAGGCAGCCGCGCCGUCUCAUCGAGUGUGGGUACAGGAUGGAUAUGAUUUACAUUUUGGUCCUUUUAAAAAACUUAUUUCGCAAAUAGACCCCUGGAA
rnacentral:lncRNA from 1 species